UGCAUGUUAAAAACUCUGGGAUGAUCAUACUGUUCUUAAUUCUUGCUUCUUCUUUCUUUUCAUGCUUCCUAGUCCAUGAGGCUUUUAUUAGCCUCAAUUGGAUUAAUAAGGUAAGGUCUUCACCGGUUAUUAUUAUAUGGGUAAUAAUACUGGUGAUAUCCCCCCUUUAUCUUAUUUUCCUAUUUGUUGUAAUUUUCUUUUUACUUAGUAAUGAAAAC
rnacentral:lncRNA from 1 species